rnacentral:rRNA from 1 species
CUUUCGGGAUUUAGUGGCGGACGGGUGAGUAACGCGUGAGAAUCUGGCUUCAGGUCUGGGACAACCACUGGAAACGGUGGCUAAUACCGGAUGUGCCCUUCGGGGUGAAAGGUUAACUGCCUGAAGAUGAGCUCGCGUCUGAUUAGCUAGUUGGAAGUGUAAUGGACUCCCAAGGCGACGAUCAGUAGCUGGUCUGAGAGGACGAUCAGCCACACUGGGACUGAGACACGGCCCAGACUCCUACGGGAGGCAGCAGUGGGGAAUUUUCCGCAAUGGGCGAAAGCCUGACGGAGCAAUACCGCGUGAGGGAGGAAGGCUCUUGGGUCGUAAACCUCUUUUCUCAGG